GACGAACCGUGCGAACGUUGUUCGGAAUCACUGGGCUUAAAGGGCGCGUAGGCGGGCGGUCAAGUCUGAAGUGAAAUCCUCCAGCUUAACUGGAGAACAGCUUUGGAUACUGGCCGUCUCGAGUGGGGUAGGGGCGUGUGGAACUGUAGGUGGAGCGGUGAAAUGCGUUGAUAUCUACAGGAACUCCGGUGGCGAAAGCGACACGCUGGACCCUUACUGACGCUGAGGCGCGAAAGCCAGGGGAGCAAACGGG
rnacentral:rRNA from 1 species